UACGGGGGGGGCAAGCGUUGUUCGGAAUCAUUGGGCGUAAAGGGUGCGUAGGCGGUGCGGUAAGUCUGGUGUGAAAUCCCCGAGCUUAACUCGGGUCCCGCGCCAGAGACUGCCGUGCUCGAGUGUGGGAGAGGAAAGUGGAAUUCCCGGUGUAGCUGUGAAAUGCGUAGAUAUCGGGAGGAACACCCGUGGCGAAGGCGGCUUUCUGGACCACUACUGACGCUGAGGCACGAAAGCCGGGGGAGCAAACAGG
rnacentral:rRNA from 1 species